rnacentral:rRNA from 1 species
UUGAAAGGGAAACGAUUGAAGUCAGUCGUACCAGCGGGAAAUCAACCUUUCGAGUGGGGGUUUUGGAGUUUUGAAGAGUUUCAAAACCUUUGAGAUUUCAAAAAUUUCGCUCUUUUGGUGUACUUUCUCGUGGGUAGGUUAACAUCGAUUUUGAUCAUCAUAAAAAGACUGGAGGAAUGUAGCUUCGAUCUUGUAUUGAAGUGUUAUAGCCUUUGGUAAAUGUGAUGAUUAGGAUCGAGGAUUGCAACGAAUACCCUUCUGGGCUAUCCGCCUGAUCUCUGAUACGUGGCCUUGGUAUCGAAAGCUUGCUUAUGGUAUUAAGGUAUUACGGUCAAAAGGUUAGAACGGAUUACAUUCGUUAAGGAUGUUGACGUA